rfam:Populus trichocarpa Ptrichocarpa_Cont38611, whole genome shotgun sequence.
UAAUCUAUUUAAGAACAAAUCCUUAUUUAAUUAUGAUAGACACAUACACAUGACUGCUCAGAAUCAUUUAUUAUCAUAAAUCCGACUACAUCAUUAACAUUGAAAAACAAAAGAUAAUUACUGUGUGAACAAUAAUUUUUUAAGAUUUGAAU